rnacentral:rRNA from 1 species
UACAGAGGUCCCGAGCGUUGUUCGGAUUCACUGGGCGUAAAGGGUGCGUAGGUGGUGAGGUAAGUCGGAUGUGAAAGCUCGGAGCUCAACUCCGAAAUGGCAUUGGAAACUACCUUGCUUGAGGGUUGGAGGGGGGACUGGAAUUCUCGGUGUAGCAGUGAAAUGCGUAGAUAUCGAGAGGAACACCAGUGGCGAAGGCGAGUCUCUGGACGACACCUGACACUGAGGCACGAAAGCCAGGGGAGCAAACAGG